GACGAACCGUGCGAACGUUGUUCGGAUUUACUGGGCGUAAAGGGCGCGUAGGCGGUCAGCACAAGUCAGUUGUGAAAUCUCCGGGCUUAACUCGGAAAGGUCAACUGAUACUGUGCGACUAGAGUGCAGAAGGGGCAACUGGAAUUCUCGGUGUAGCGGUGAAAUGCGUAGAUAUCGAGAGGAACACCUGCGGCGAAGGCGGGUUGCUGGGCUGACACUGACGCUGAUGCGCGAAAGCCAGGGGAGCGAACGGG
rnacentral:rRNA from 1 species